GGUCCGGUGGUCUAGUGGUUAUGAUCUCUGUCUCACACACAGAGGGUCCCCAGUUCGAUCCUGGGCCGAACCA
rfam:Amanita muscaria Koide BX008 unplaced genomic scaffold scaffold_3, whole genome shotgun sequence.